UUUAGAUGUCUCCAUUGUCUCCCUCUCCUCCGACUCUCAGUCCGAACAAGGGUUUCAACCCAAAAUGUCACUCAACCCUUCUCUCCAGAGUGGCUGCCUGUCCCGCUGAGCUGCGGCAGCACUUUGUGUCUAUUUUCUCUAUGAUGCUUGCGGCCAGCGAAUAGGCUGAGUUCAGCUUCAUGAAACCAGCGAUCUCUCCAGCCCAACACAAGUAACUUGUGGGCUUCUGACAACAACUAAUCAGAAUCUCCUGAUCAUCGACACACAGAUACGUCUUUAUUUCUGUAAAACAAAUAACUAUUUACACAUUUGCACAACCAAGCAGACCGUUUUAAUUGAAUCUUGCCAAACAUCGGCCAAUGGAAAACAUUAUGAGGGACUUUGAUUUAGGAAGAAUAAAGUAUGAACUUUAAA